AGAGUUUGAUCAUGGCUCAGAACGAACGCUGGCGGCGUGGAUAAGACAUGCAAGUCGAGUGAUCGUUAACGGGUAGCAAUAUUCGUUAGCGGGAGCGGCGCAAGGGUGCGUAACACGUGGGUAAUCUGCCGUGAAGUUUGGGAUAAUCCCGCGAAAGCGGGACUAAUACCGGAUGUGACCAUUGGGAGGCAUCUCUUGAUGGUUAAAGUUGGGGACCGCAAGGCCUGACGCUUCAUGAUGAACCCGCGGCCUAUCAGCUAGUUGGUGAGGUAACGGCUCACCAAGGCUAAGACGGGUAGCUGGUCUGAGAGGACGACCAGCCACACUGGAACUGAGACACGGUCCAGACACCUACGGGUGGCAGCAGUCGAGAAUUUUUCACAAUGGGCGCAAGCCUGAUGGAGCGACGCCGCGUGGGGGAUGAAUGGCUUCGGCCCGUAAACCCCUGUCAUUUGCGAUCAAACCUUAUUAUUUAAAAGAUGAUAAGUUGAUAGUAGCGAAAGAGGAAGGGACGGCUAACUCUGUGCCAGCAGCCGCGGUAAUACAGAGGUCCCAAGCGUUGUUCGGAUUCACUGGGCGUAAAGGGUGCGUAGGUGGUGGGGUAAGUCGGAUGUGAAAGCUGGGAGCUCAACUCCGAAAUGGCAUUGGAAACUACCCUGCUAGAGGAUUGGAGGGGGGACUGGAAUACUUGGUGUAGCAGUGAAAUGCGUAGAUAUCAAGUGGAACACCAGUGGCGAAGGCGAGUCCCUGGACAAUACCUGACACUGAGGCACGAAAGCUAGGGGAGCAAACAGGAUUAGAUACCCUAGUAGUCC
rnacentral:rRNA from 1 species